GUCGAGCGGCGGACGGGUGAGUAAUGCCUAGGAAAUUGCCCUGAUGUGGGGGAUAACCAUUGGAAACGAUGGCUAAUACCGCAUGAUGCCUACGGGCCAAAGAGGGGGACCUUCGGGCCUCUCGCGUCAGGAUAUGCCUAGGUGGGAUUAGCUAGUUGGUGAGGUAAGGGCUCACCAAGGCGACGAUCCCUAGCUGGUCUGAGAGGAUGAUCAGCCACACUGGAACUGAGACACGGUCCAGACUCCUACGGGAGGCAGCAGUGGGGAAUAUUGCACAAUGGGCGCAAGCCUGAUGCAGCCAUGCCGCGUGUGUGAAGAAGGCCUUCGGGUUGUAAAGCACUUUCAGUCGUGAGGAAGGUAGUGUAGUUAAUAGCUGCAUUAUUUGACGUUAGCGACAGAAGAAGCACCGGCUAACUCCGUGCCAGCAGCCGCGGUAAUACGGAGGGUGCGAGCGUUAAUCGGAAUUACUGGGCGUAAAGCGCAUGCAGGUGGUUUGUUAAGUCAGAUGUGAAAGCCCGGGGCUCAACCUCGGAAUUGCAUUUGAAACUGGCAGACUAGAGUACUGUAGAGGGGGGUAGAAUUUCAGGUGUAGCGGUGAAAUGCGUAGAGAUCUGAAGGAAUACCGGUGGCGAAGGCGGCCCCCUGGACAGAUACUGACACUCAGAUGCGAAAGCGUGGGGAGCAAACAGGAUUAGAUACCCUGGUAGUCCACGCCGUAAACGAUGUCUACUUGGAGGUUGUGGCCCUGAGCCGUGGCUUUCGGAGCUAACGCGUUAAGUAGACCGCCUGGGGAGUACGGUCGCAAGAUUAAAACUCAAAUGAAUUGACGGGGGCCCGCACAAGCGGUGGAGCAUGUGGUUUAAUUCGAUGCAACGCGAAGAACCUUACCUACUCUUGACAUCCAGAGAACUUUCCAGAGAUGGAUUGGUGCCUUCGGGAACUCUGAGACAGGUGCUGCAUGGCUGUCGUCAGCUCGUGUUGUGAAAUGUUGGGUUAAGUCCCGCAACGAGCGCAACCCUUAUCCUUGUUUGCCAGCGAGUAAUGUCGGGAACUCCAGGGAGACUGCCGGUGAUAAACCGGAGGAAGGUGGGGACGACGUCAAGUCAUCAUGGCCCUUACGAGUAGGGCUACACACGUGCUACAAUGGCGCAUACAGAGGGCAGCCAACUUGCGAAAGUGAGCGAAUCCCAAAAAGUGCGUCGUAGUCCGGAUUGGAGUCUGCAACUCGACUCCAUGAAGUCGGAAUCGCUAGUAAUCGUGGAUCAGAAUGCCACGGUGAAUACGUUCCCGGGCCUUGUACACACCGCCCGUCACACCAUGGGAGUGGGCUGCAAAAGAAGUAGGUAGUUUAAC
rnacentral:rRNA from 1 species